UACGGAGGAUGCGAGCGUUAUCCGGAUUUAUUGGGUUUAAAGGGUGCGCAGGCGGUCUGUUAAGUCAGCGGUCAAAGCCCGGGGCUCAACCCCGGCCCGCCGUUGAAACUGGCAGUCUCGAGUUGGAGAGAAGUAUGCGGAAUGCGCGGUGUAGCGGUGAAAUGCAUAGAUAUCGCGCAGAACUCCGAUUGCGAAGGCAGCAUGCCGGCUCCGCACUGACGCUGAGGCACGAAAGCGUGGGUAUCGGACAGG
rnacentral:rRNA from 1 species